ensembl:misc_RNA
UUUACAGCCUUGGAGUCUGAAGUGCUGGAUUUAACAGGUACACCAAGAGCAGCUUACCCCACAUGGCCCCAUCAAUUUCCCUCAACCCUGGAUGUAGAAGGGUAACUUCUAAGAGCGAGUGGGAGUUCAGUCCUCCAGACCUUUUCAAUCCCUGGCCUCU